UACGUAGGGCGCAAGCGUUGUCCGGAAUUAUUGGGCGUAAAGAGCUCGUAGGCGGUUUGUCGCGUCUGCUGUGAAAUCCCGAGGCUCAACCUCGGGCUUGCAGUGGGUACGGGCAGACUAGAGUGCGGUAGGGGAGACUGGAAUUCCUGGUGUAGCGGUGGAAUGCGCAGAUAUCAGGAGGAACACCGAUGGCGAAGGCAGGUCUCUGGGCCGCAACUGACGCU
rnacentral:rRNA from 1 species